rnacentral:rRNA from 1 species
AUUAAUGAGAGUUUGAUCCUGGCUCAGGACGAACGCUGGCGGCGUGCCUAAUACAUGCAAGUAGAACGCUGAAGAGAGGAGCUUGCUCUUCUUGGAUGAGUUGCGAACGGGUGAGUAACGCGUAGGUAACCUGCCUUGUAGCGGGGAUAACUAUUGGAAACGAUAGCUAAUACCGCAUAACAAUGGAUGACACAUGUCAUUUAUUUGAAAGGGGCAAUUGUUCCACUACAAGAUGGACCUGCGUUGUAUUAGCUAGUAGGUGAGGUAAUGGCUCACCUAGGCGACGAUACAUAGCCGACCUGAGAGGGUGAUCGGCCACACUGGGACUGAGACACGGCCCAGACUCCUACGGGAGGCAGCAGUAGGGAAUCUUCGGCAAUGGGGGCAACCCUGACCGAGCAACGCCGCGUGAGUGAAGAAGGUUUUCGGAUCGUAAAGCUCUGUUGUAAGUCAAGAACGGGUGUGAGAGUGGAAAGUUCACACUGUGACGGUAGCUUACCAGAAAGGGACGGCUAACUACGUGCCAGCAGCCGCGGUAAUACGUAGGUCCCGAGCGUUGUCCGGAUUUAUUGGGCGUAAAGCGAGCGCAGGCGGUUUGAUAAGUCUGAAGUUAAAGGCUGUGGCUCAACCAUAGUUCGCUUUGGAAACUGUCAAACUUGAGUGCAGAAGGGGAGAGUGGAAUUCCAUGUGUAGCGGUGAAAUGCGUAGAUAUAUGGAGGAACACCGGUGGCGAAAGCGGCUCUCUGGUCUGUAACUGACGCUGAGGCUCGAAAGCGUGGGGAGCGAACAGGAUUAGAUACCCUGGUAGUCCACGCCGUAAACGAUGAGUGCUAGGUGUUGGAUCCUUUCCGGGAUCAGUGCCAGUGCCGCAGCUAACGCAUUAAGCACUCCGCCUGGGGAGUACGACCGCAAGGUUGAAACUCAAAGGAAUUGACGGGGGCCCGCACAAGCGGUGGAGCAUGUGGUUUAAUUCGAAGCAACGCGAAGAACCUUACCAGGUCUUGACAUCCCGAUGCUAUUUCUAGAGAUAGAAAGUUACUUCGGUACAUCGGUGACAGGUGGUGCAUGGUUGUCGUCAGCUCGUGUCGUGAGAUGUUGGGUUAAGUCCCGCAACGAGCGCAACCCCUAUUGUUAGUUGCCAUCAUUCAGUUGGGCACUCUAGCGAGACUGCCGGUAAUAAACCGGAGGAAGGUGGGGAUGACGUCAAAUCAUCAUGCCCCUUAUGACCUGGGCUACACACGUGCUACAAUGGUUGGUACAACGAGUUGCGAGUCGGUGACGGCGAGCUAAUCUCUUAAAGCCAAUCUCAGUUCGGAUUGUAGGCUGCAACUCGCCUACAUGAAGUCGGAAUCGCUAGUAAUCGCGGAUCAGCACGCCGCGGUGAAUACGUUCCCGGGCCUUGUACACACCGCCCGUCACACCACGAGAGUUUGUAACACCCGAAGUCGGUGAGGUAACCUUUGGAGCCAGCCGCCUAAGGUGGGACAGAUGAUUGGGGUGAAGUCGUAACAAGGUAGCCGUAUCGGAAGGUGCGGCUGGAUCACCUCCUUU